rnacentral:rRNA from 1 species
UACGUAGGGGGCGAGCGUUGUCCGGAGUUACUGGGCGUAAAGCGCACGCAGGCGGUCUGCUAAGUUUGGAGUGACAGUUGGUGGCUUAACUGCCAAAGUGCUUCGAAAACUGACAGACUUGAGGGCUUCAGAGGGACACGGAAUUCCGGGUGGAGUGGUGGAAAUGCGUAGAGAUCCGGAGGAACACCAAAGGCGAAGGCAGUGUCCUGGGGAGUACCUGACGCUCAGGUGCGAAAGCCAGGGGAGCGAACGGG